CCCUUAGAUGUCCUGGGCCGCACGCGUGCUACACUGACGCCUACAGCGAGUACUUCCCAGCCCCGAGAGGUGGCUGGUAAUCAGCAAUAGGCGUCGUGAUGGGGAUAGAUCUUUGGAAUUAUGGAUCUUGAACGAGGAAUGCCUAGUAAGCGCAGGUCAUUAGCCUGCGCUGAUUAAGUCCCUGCCCUUUGUACACACCGCCCGUCGCUCCUACCGAUUUCGAGUGGUCCGGUGAAUCUUUCGGACUGCGCGCGGCCUCGUGCCGUGUCGCGGAAAGUCAGGUAAACCUUAUCACUUAGAGGAAGGUGAAGUCGUAACA
rnacentral:rRNA from 1 species